rnacentral:ncRNA from 2 species
CACCCUGAGGAGCGCUGCAACGGGGAGGACUCCCCGCCAGGCUCAGGUUCCCGUAACGGCGCUCGCUGACU